UGAAAAAAGUGCACAAGGCAUGUCAUUACUCUAAAGAAUUUGUUAUACUUGAGCUAACUCAAAACAUUUGAUUUUCUGUCUAGCCAUCAGUGUAAUGUAAAAAGUUUGGUUGAUUUAAAUUAAAAGUAAGUCUUGUUAGUGUAAAGUAAAUACAUUUCUGUAAAUUAAAUUAAAAAUAUUGGUUUCCAUUGUCACGUGACUUCUAACGUCAUCCGUGGUCGUGCGUGUCGACGUUCAGCUUUCCGCCAUCUUGUUAUACCGCAUGGAUGAACUCGGCGUGGUAAAACGGGAAUCAAGAAAAUUGGAUGGGGUACAGCUGAACAACAAUUAUGACAGGUUUUGAAUAAACCAGUCACAUGAAAAACAUUAAUGCCGAAUUUUUGCGCAUCACGACCCUACAUUUACAAUCGAGAAUUAUGGCCUCUUUGGACAGACAGAGCUCUUAGCUUCUCCAGGUUAUUAGGAGCAAAGGUGGAGUCCUCCAUGAAAAAACGUUCAAGUUAUGGAUCAGAGUCUGGACAUAUGCAUCAGAAUAGAUCAUGUACCUUGGUGAAGAUGCAAGCUGUCUGAUCAAAGAAUACCAGGCUGACCAGAGGGAGGAAGCGGAGAGAGAAUUUGAAAAGACCACCAUGGCAUUUUUUGUAAUCCGCGAAAGUGAUGCUCUUAGUUGUGCACUGGACAUUUCCAUUGUCACUGACGGUGUGGAAGUACUAGAUGAGUUGCUCUCUGUUGCAUGUGCUUGUGCCAUAAUGUUUGGACACAUUUAUGCACUGAACUUAAAAUAUCCUGAAGGACUCAAAUAUACCUUUGAGGCCUUUCAAAA